GGUUAAGUUACAAAGGGCGCACGGUGGAUGCCUUGGCACUAGGAGCCGAUGAAGGACGGAACUAAUACCGAUAUGCUUCGGGGAGCUAUAAGUAAGCUUUGAUCCGGAGAUUUCCGAAUGGGGGAACCCAGUACACAUCAGUGUAUUGCUUGUCAGUGAAUACAUAGCUGGCCGGCGGCAGACGCGGGGAACUGAAACAUCUCAGUACCCGCAGGAAGAGAAAGAAAACUCGAUUCCCAUAGUAGCGGCGAGCGAAGUGGGAAGAGCCCAAACCGAGAAGCUUGCUUCUCGGGGUUGUAGGACUGGACAUUGGAGUUACCAAAGUCCGACGUAGUCGAAGUC
rnacentral:rRNA from 2 species